rnacentral:piRNA from 1 species
UGAAUCUGAGGACAACUUACAGAUGUUGGU